ACAGCGUGGACUACCAGGGUAUCUAAUCCUGUUUGCUACCCACGCUUUCGCGUCUCAGCGUCGGAAACGAGCCAGUUAGUCGCUUUCGCCACUGGUGUUCUUCCAAAUAUCUACGAAUUUCACCUCUACACUUGGAAUUCCACUAACCUCUCUCGAUCUCUAGCAUAAUAGUAUCAAAGGCAGUUCCUAAGUUAAGCUUAGGGAUUUCACCUCUGACUGAUUACACAGCCUACACGCCCUUUACGCCCAGUAAUUCCGAACAACGCUAGCUCCCUCCGUAUUACCGCGGCUGCUGGCACGGAAUUAGCCGUGGCUUAUUCCUCAAGUACCGUCAUAUCUUCUUCCUUGAGAAAAGAGGUUUACAGCCCAGAGGCCUUCGUCCCUCACGCGGCGUUGCUCCGUCAGGCUUUCGCCCAUUGCGG
rnacentral:rRNA from 1 species